GCGCGGUUAGCUCAGUUGGUAGAGCAGACGACUUAUACUCGUCCUGUCGGGGGUUCGAAUCCCUCACCGCGCA
rnacentral:tRNA from 4 species